UCAAGGUUAGUGUUGACCACCUAGCCUGAUGGGAGCUGGAGCUUCUAUUUUAGACUGACGAUUAUGUGAAGAUCAUACCCAGGAACCAGCACUUGAUUUCGGAUGCAAAAAGCAGGGCCCCUCGGUCGAAAAUCAUCACGGGAAAAAGAAGCUUAGCAGAAGCGCAUUAUACAAAGCAGCUGCUGAAGAGACAGUUCAGUAUAAAGGCACACAUCAGGAAAUACUGGCUUUACCUCAGAGAGGCAUGGGAUAAGUAUGGAUCAGGGCCAUCAGCACAUGGAGCUAGACAAACCACCGAGGUUUAAACAGACGUACCUCCACAGCUGGCUGAAGUGGCAUUACCACAGACAGCACAGACACCCAUCACACCGGGCUUCUAACUGGUCAGUGUCACCUCCAGUACUCCUGCACUACCUGCUCCAACUGCAUCAUAUAGUUCUGCCUCAGGCGCUGGUACAGAGGCACCCACAUGGAGUUUUAAUAGUUGAGAUGGCAUUUUCAUCAUCCAUCAGGAGAUGACAGGGCCGGAUAUUGCAGGAUAUUAUGAAGAGGGGUUUUGGUGUCCAAAUCAGAAGACCAGAAAAAAAUCCUACAUUGAAUUGCAAAGCUGAUGCUCCAUCAAGCACUGACCAAGGCAUCUGCAACAGGAGACAAUUGGGACAGUUCUGAGGUGAGGACUACAUCAUCACUUUGCUGAAGCUGGAUGCACCUCUGAUGUCCCUUACCUGUCCCCAAUCAUGGUGUCCCCAAUCAUUUGUGUACAUUACCAUACUAGUCUGUCUUGUACAUCUGCACCUGCUACCUAACUUACCUGACCUACCUUAAUGUGUUAUUCCUAACCACAUUCACCAAGAGUCUUCUCUUAAACAAACAAAAAAAGGCAUCCCAUAUAUACCUCCCCACUUUAACUAUCCAUCUGCUUGCCACACUUGAUUUGGUCCAGUUGAUUUGUCACCUCGCCAUGAUGUGGUGAGUAUCCAAAUUCAUAAAAUUUUUGUUACAAAUAUACACUUGUCUUGUGAUGAAGUUUUAGCUAUGGUGCUCUCUCACCACCUAUACAUUCCUUUAUUCUUUCACCGGUGUCCUAUCCACUGCUUGCCUCCAUUUUCACCAAUGUCCUAUCACUCUCUUAUUUACAUGUCUAAUCUGGUCAAAAAAUGGAAUCACAUACAAUGCACAUGAUUAGAAAUAGCCUACAAAAAUAACCUUCAGUUUUUGUCCUCAGUACUUGCAUAUUAGUAGGCAUUGUACGGUAAUGCUAAGCAAAAGUAAAUGGCAUUUCACAUCCUAUGUCAAAAACUUGUGAGUUUUUACUAUCAACCACACUAGUGCAUUCAUCUUUGCAGAAAAUAUGCUUACCCUUGCUAUGCUAUAGAAGUACAGAGUGAAAACACUACUGGGAGACAGUUACUCUAAUAUAUUUAUUAGUCUGCAGGAUGUAAUGUAACCUUACAUUAUGCUACACUUGUAAUUUCUGUGAUGUCUACAUUCUCCAUUGCUGAAAUUUGUUGUCAAUGUCCCUUCAAAUUUGUGAUUUUAACUCUGUGAGGUAUGAGUGUUGUGCUGAAAUAAAGUUCAGGUCUCUAGACUGCUUUUUUUUUUUUUUUGCAUAGUUUCAAUGGUUUGAAUCCAAAAGUAUGUCAAACAUUUACUGUUUUUUGCAUUACUGUUGUGUGUGUAACUGCUGGCUACAUAUAUAAUUAACCCACAUUAUCCUGCUUAUGUCUUAAUCAUGUUUCUGAUAUCCUCCCCCUGUUUGCUCCAUAUUAGAAACAAUUCAUUUUACAGAGCAUUACAGAAUUACUAUGAUGACAAUCCUAAGAGUAACACAACACAAAGUUGGGAGAAAAUGGUCAUAAACAAGAAACUGUGUCUAUAUUCCUGUCUCCCAGACACUCUCUCUCAUUCCGUCCUUCUGUCUUAUCAUUCAUUGCCCUCAGCAUUUGUUCCAUGCCUGGCACUAAGCAACAACAGUAACUGAUGGUAAAAGGCAUUUCACAUCUUAUGGAAAAAACGGGUACAUUUUUUCCUUUGAUCAAAUUAGUCUGCUGUCCCUCUCACUGCUGUGAACAAAGCAAAUUCAGAGUUGGAUGUACACCAUAUGGGAUGUUGCAAUCAUAAACUACUGUUAUGAAGUAUGCUGCACACAAACUUACUUCCUUCCUUCAUAGUGUUUCCUUAGUCCAGGGUUCCACCAGCUUUAGUAUGCUUAGUCCCUUAUGUGUUUCAGAAUCAGGCCCAAAAAUGCUCAUAUCUUACGAGAAAUAAAUGCAAGACAUUUGGUACAAUCAAGGCUUUAUAGGAUAACAAGCACAGUAGACUAGGCACAUCUGAAAGAAAUAUUGCUGCAAUACACGUAUAAGGUGAUAGGAAGCAUUAAUUUGCAUUUCCAUGCAUUUUCUGAAGUAUUUUAAUUAUGAUACCUACAUGUUUGUGAUAGUGUAAUGAAUAUAGUACUCAGUGAUGUCAUACAAAAGCAUGCAAUUGCAUAUGAAGCAGUACAAGAUGUCUUAAGUACAUGGACAGUUACCAGAUAUGAGAGCCGUCUAAGUAUGCACCUGUGUUAUGCAUAUAAUGAGUACUUUACUGCAAGUAUCAUGACAAAUGAUUAAACCUGGACACAGAAACCAUUAACACUACACUCAUGUGUUCUGAAUUGGAUCAGAAUCAGAAAUAUUUCUAUACCUGUACUCAUUUUUGUGGAAAAAUGUUGGCAUGAAACACCACAGACUACUAUUACAACCCAUUCUAAGUUUAAAACCACAAGAUAUAAUUAUGCAAGCACUUUAACCUUGCCAUCAACCCUGCAAAUGAGAUGGAAAAUGUUGCACUUCAGGAAGAGAUUUUUGGCAAGUGGAAAGUAAUGUCAGUUUGCAUCUUGUAAUGGGCUGUUGUAUUCUAGAUAUGAUGAGUUCCAGUGAUGCAGUAUAAUCACUACAUAAUGUAAUACAGUUAUACCAGUACUCCAACACAUUUAAACUUAAAAAUGAUGUACAAUGGUGUGGGACCUUUGCACACAUGCCACCCAUUGUCCAACCAUGUGGAAAUAUUGAAAAUGGCACAGCAAAUGAUUGCUAUUUGCAUACAUUCAUCCUGUACUGAACACUCAAAAAUGUUUUGUUGUCAGUCUGCUAUGUCCCAAGUGUGAUUGCCAUUAAUUCACCAUAUUGUGAAACAGCUGUGUCACUCACAGUCUAUGAAAGACUGGCUAGACAGUUUUUCUGAGCAGUAUAUAAUUCUUUCUAAUCAACACAUGUCUGUUAGUAGCCCUGUUUAUCAAGACACAUUUCUUUUCAGCCAAACCAAUGAUGCACACAAGCUUCUCUGCAGCACACUGAUGUUGUAAUCCUUACAAAAUGCACUAUUGCACAUUUAAAAUUAGACUUUUCCAUAGAUUAUGUAAUUAGAUAAUUAAGCUUUCAAAUACAGCAGUGGCUGAAACUGUGUGUGUGUGUAUCUGUAGAGCUAGGAAGGACUAGUUUCAUCCACCUAUCUGAUGUGUGCAAACAUUUAAACUGAGAGAUGGCUCAAUUUCUUUCACUUUUAUCACAGACAUGAUCUCUGCUACACACUGAUGAGAUCAUCCUUUUAAAUGUGUACUAUUUCACUCUUUAAAUAAAACUUCUGUGGUAUUUGCAGUUGAUACUGUGCAUUCUAGGUUGUACGGCUAGAUAGGUACGUGGCUCAAAUCCACCACUGUUGAAGUAGUGUGAGUGUAUCUGUGUGUCUCUAGUGUCAGGAAAGUAUGGCUUUAGCAGCUGAAAUGAUGUGAUCACUUGCACUCAGGAGAAAUAUUUACACUGGGAGAGGGCUCCCACAUGAGUUUCCUACACUUUUAACAUUAACAUUUGCUCUGCUACACACUAAUGAGGUCUUUUUUCAA